AAAAAAAAGGAAAAAAAAAAGGAGGGAAAAAACCCUACACUGAGGCAUUUUACUAUGACAUAGAAGUAGGUGUUUUACAGUGAGGAGUGCAUUUAAAAACUCCAUGAAUUUAAGUCUUCCAUAUCCAAAGCAUCACACUGUGCCAAGUUCUGCUGAGUUUAUCACGGAAAGAAAAAUUAUCCAGGUUUAUUAAAGUAGGAUGUCUGUCACCUGAGUUACACAGCAUGGGAAACUGACCGAGGCUGCUACUACCAAGGUAAACUACGUCAGAGUGACUAGCACCAAGCACUUCAAAUGGCUUUUUAAUCAUGUGUUUUUUCUCACAGACAGAGAAAAUAAAUUCAGUGAAAUGUAAUUUUUAUUCAAAGAAUAGUCUUGUGUUGCUUUAUAGAAGCUGGGUUAAUUUACAAACUCCUGUUGGGUUACAAUUUGAAAUGAGAAUUUAAUGACAUAUGCUCUCAUCCAGAAAACAAAACAAAACAAACAAACAAAAAAACAGUUUAAUUGCUGUAUUGCUGACAUUAUCAUUUUCCAUAGGUAUUCCAAGUAUAUCAAGAAUGCUGUCAAGGCAGUAGACACGUAAUUUGUGCAGAAGUAGAAAAUUAAAAAUGGCAAGGGCUGAUGGAAAAAAAAACUUAAGUGCCUUAAGAUUCAACUUCAGUUGAAUCAGUCCCAUUGAAGUCAUAGAAUCCCAGAAUCAUAGAAUGGUUUGGGUUGGAAGGCACCUAAAGCAUUCUAUGAUUCUAUAUAAUCUGUAUAUGUGUUUCUUGGCUGCAGUAGGUUUUGGUUGAGGCCUUAAAUGGGAAUCUGGUAUAAAACACUCGCUGUCAUAUCCAUAUACAUGCAGCUGCCAACAGUUACACACCUGAGCUGUGAAACAAGAUGUAGAGCUGACAUAUAGCAUAAGCUUCUGUUCUAUCUGGGAGAGUUGUGUUGUGGAGGUAAUUUAGCGUGUCAAAGUGUUAAAAAAUAUUAUAAUUAUGAAUAGAUUCACUUUCUGGUGAAGGACAGAGUGAUAACAGAGGAUGUAUGUACCGGAGCAAGAGAGGAAGAAUCCCCAAUAUGUUAUUUGAUUUUCAGUCUCUAAAUUUUCAUGAUGCAGAUGUCUUGCCAAAUUUUAACAAAUAUAAGCCAAAAAGCAAACCAUUUAUAGUUCAUCAGUUUUGCUGAAGAAAAAUAAAGAAUUUUUUUCUUAUUAUUAUGGGUAUAGCUCUGAAGUAUAAAAUAUAGCAAUUCUGUAUAUUUCAUUAAGAUUUAGACGUACAGUACAGAUUGAAAAUAUUUAAGAGGUUCAGACUGAGAAUACACAGCUAAAAUCGGGCAAGAGAGAACAAAACAGAUACCUUAUAGCAGAGCCAGAAUGAAAAUGGUAACCCAGAAAGAAAGAAACAAUGUGUGGCAGUCAUCCUUGAAUACCUGGCAACCAAUAUCUCUUGGAAUUUACACCCUGGGGACGUUUGGGCAGAAGAAGGGAUAAAGGGUGCUGGGGUUCUAUAAGAUUGCUUUGUUUCAGAAGAACAUAAAGAGACAAGUGGAAGAAAAUGAGAAGUGGGAAAAAAGGACAGGUGCUACUGGCAGAGCUUGAAUAGUCAGUGCAAAGGCCAGGAAGGUUAGGUGUGAAGCCUUUCUUUGAAUCAUAUCAUAGAAUGGCCUGGGUUGAAAAGGACUACAAUGAUCAUCUAGUUUCAAGCAAAGGAAUAUUUACUAUUGGACUUAGCCAAAUGCUAUUUUUUUAUCCUUAAUUUUAAUCCAACUGAUGUUAGGCAUUGCUUAAUAUGAAGCUUAACAAUAUAGCAUUUCUGGUUCCCUCUUUGUCUUUCAAAAAUACAAGUAUGACUGUAAUCCAGAGUUCCUUACUCAUUUUUUUUAUUUGAAUAGGUUUUCAAGCCACUGCUAAUGUAAUUUUCAGGAACUAAUCUCUUUUGCCAGUUAAAUUCAGACCCCCAAUCAACAUUUCACAUAGUCUUGAUUUCUGUCUUUCAUCUUCACAUUAUUACAGAAAUCUUGGAGGAGGGACUUCUUCAACGUGCCAGUGAUCAGAGGAAGUCUGUACUGAGCAGAGCACACAACAGUCAUGCUGGGAAGAGAUAUCUUCUGACAUCCAACGUAAAAUGUUUCUGUCAUUUAAUUCUUGCUGCUUAAUUCCUCUGUCAAUUCACAUCAAAAACAUGGAAAGAACACUAAGAAAAGUAAUAAACCUUGUGUUAAGACAGAUGUCUUACCUCUGUAAUCUCUAGAGAAAUUCCUCUUAAACAAUGUAUAGUUGGAGGGAAGUCCAGAGAUAACAGUCAGGUAAAUAAAGUCAACAGGCACCAUGCCACACUUUUCACAUUCAACACAACUGCUACAGCUCAUGAGGGGAGAAUGACGCAAUAGCACCUUGGUUAGCUCACCUCCCUAGGGGACAGCAGGAGCUCUCUAAUGACCAUUCACAUCAUUUUCAGCGUGACAGCUUUUUCAGCCCAUGCCGGGAAAGUGCCACCAAACCACAGCCGUGAUUCAGUCAGUCUGCAAAGAUUGAUAUAAACCGCUUCCUAAAUCAGUGACAGCGCUAACUGGCAAUUGUGUCCCUCCUCUCAGGUGGUUGCAUUACCUCUUGCUGUACGUGGUACAAGGGAAUCUAUGCCCCAUCUCACAGCACCUGAGCUUGGGAAUGAUCUGCAGAGAGGGAUGCUUUGCCCCAUCACCCCUUCAUGUCUGAAAACAAAAAGGUAGUAAGUCAAGGAGUGAAUAUAAAUGUUAAGAGAGGUGUUCCUUUUUUUUUCCUAAAAUGAAAGUUGGUAAGGGAAAGUUGUGAAGAUGAAGCAAUACCUGGCACUCAUGCAGAAAAUUCACCUUCUCCUGGCAGAAUUUGUUACCCAGAACCUGCAGUUUUACUUGGAAAUAUGGCAUCAAACCAUGAUGGCACCCAAACAGCAAAGCAACAUGCUCCAAUCAGCUCAAACUAUGACUCUGCUCUUGUUCCUGUCUACAGCAUGGAAACAAAGGGUCUCACAUACUACCAGCAUGAAAGUACUCUUUCAUCACAGUAAAACAGAAGGCAAAUCUCCCUAAGAGAACUGUACAGUGCUCUCAGCCUAUUUCUCUACUGGAUAUUUUUAAUUUCAUUUUUACUUCACAUUCCUAACUCCACUGCUCAACCACAAGCCAGAGGUCUAAAUGACAGGAAUUAAGCUUAAAAUCCCAUAUAUCUUUUCUAAUUUCUGCCACUCACUGUGCAAAUCAGGGCUAUUUGUUCUAGCAUCACUAGGAGAAAGAAACAUACAUCUUCUGCACGCUAACUGCACUUGUGCCAAAGCCCUUAAAUCCAGCUCUCUGAUGGAAAGGGUUUUAUUAAUUACAACACACAGUUUGUAAUUUUGACAUCACCACUGGAACAAUGCUCCUGGUUUCUGAGCUACCAUCAAGUCAUCAAUUUGCUCAUGAACCAUUGCCCUGUCUGCAUCUGCUCCUUCAACAGUCUGCGCCUUUGUGCUCCAACUGAAAUCUCCUACUGCUGUACAGGCGCUGAGUCAUAAUGAUGAUUUCCUCUCUUAACUCAUCUCUAUCUGCCCCUGUUAAAUGAAAGGAAUGCAAAUGACAAAACAUGUUCACUCACUGGAACUGUGGAAAAACAGCACUUUUGCAGCAUCUCAUUGCCUUUUUCAUUUAAGACAGUCAUACAGCUCCUAACAACCAUAGAAUCAUAGUCAUAGAAUCAUUUGAGUUGAAGGGACACUUAAAGGCCAUCUAGUCCAACUUCCCUGCAAUUAAUAGGGACAACUACAGCUCCAUCAGAGCUGUACAGCCUGACCGUGAGUGCCUCCAGGGUCAGGGUAUCCACCAGCUCUCUGGACAACCUGUUCCCACCAUGACUUCAGUCAGUCUACAGCUACCAUAAAAUGAGCUGCUUUGACUGAAGGAGAACAGAGUCUCAUAUUAAGCCUUGAGCAACUAUAUCUGUAUCUGAAGCUAAGACCCUCACAGAUUUUCCUUCUUUCUUCCUCUCAUCACAUUAACCAUUUUAAUGGAAAGAUCACCAAGACAAUAAGCUAUAUAAUACAAAAAGUGUGACCAAAGAAAUAAGCAACAUAUAAUAUAUCCUUAGUUCUGGGGAGCAGAGCAGCUGCAUCAAACACUAUGGAUGAAUAGUCCCUUGAUGCCAAUGAAAAGAAUGAAAUUAUCCCACACUGAUGGAAAUUUAAACAUUUAAACUGGGAUAUUUUUGCAAACAUCAGAGACAGAUUUCCACUGACAAAAUGUUAAAUUCAUAAAGUAUAAUUGCCUUUUAACCUUCCCAUGUGCAGUGAAGUCAUAACAUAUUUUUACUAGUUGCUGUUUCUGUUUGGUUGUUGUUGUUGUUUGUUUCUGUUUUUUGAGGUAUUUUAAUGCCAUCUGUAUUACUAUGAAAAUGUUUAGCAUAGAAAAUACCAACAUUUCAAUGGAUAAAUAUAAAUGGAUAAACAUAUGUGGACAACAAUUAAUUCCCUUUAUGAAUAGCUGUAUAUGAGAAAAAUCAGGCUUCUUCACACCUCAAAUCCUGCUUUGCCCCUUCAGAACAUUUUGUACCCUGUGAUAAAAAAUCAUCUCGGGUUUCACUUUAAAGCUCCACAGCAUUAAUAUGCUUCAAUUCCAGAAGUUUCCAAAUAAAGAUUUAGAGAAGAGCAAAAUGCUAGAGAGAGAACACCCUCCCAGGAUUUGGUUUUUGAGCUCAUGUCUGUUUUCCCGCGUCAGAUCUCACAGUCUGUAUGCUGGCCUGGAGCCAAAAACUGCUGAACUUGAUUUUAAACCCAGCAGCUCCUGCACAACAGCUGCUGUUAGUGCACCAAGAGUCAAAUCAAAGUAGCACUCAAAGACUCGGUGAGAGAGAUUUGGGCACCUCCGUUCAAGAGGCCGAUGCAAAUAUCUGCCCUGAGUGUGCUGGUUAAUCCACUCUGCUGCCUGAGAACUUUGUGAUGUCCUCCAGCUCCUUCUUUCACAAGCUAAGCUGCCCCCUGUGACCCCAUACACUUAUACGCAUCCUUUCAUCUCAGUGCUAUAACACAAUAGCCCAGUAAUUCAACAUUUGUAUUGCCAGUAAUACAACAUAUGUAUUGCUGUUGGCCACGGGGUUUGUACUGACGUCUCCAGACCUCAGGAUUGAGGCUUGUCACGCUUGCUUUGUCUGAAUGUUUCAGGAUCUGCCUGGAGCUUUGCUUUAAUUCAGUUCAACAAUUUUUCUUCCAGCCAGGUGGCUACAUAUAAUUUGUUUUAGUUUUCCUUAUCUUUUAGGACCCUAGUUUUUAUAGGGAGAGUAGUAACAAGUAGCUAUUCUGUGUAGGCUGGGCUAUUUCUGACUGUAAGUCAAUGCUAUGGUAGAGAGAAGUAGAAGCCUGUCUCCCCAGCAGAGGCCUGUCACCUGCGUAGAGACUACAGCAGGACCUGCAGAGGAGUGUGGGCAUGGGAUGACAGAAGAUGGCCCAACGCUAUAAAUGUCUCAUCUGUGAUGAGUUAAAGACGCGCAGAACUGGAGCCAGACCAAGCCUAUUUUAAGAGUAACAGAGACAUCAAAGAAAUAGUAUCUAGCAUACCUAAAAGGCACCGUGUAUAGGAAGAUUACAUCAAACAUGGAGCUGCAGACAAACGAAGGCCAGAGUGUACAAGCACAUGAGCAAACACAAAAAUCACCCUAAAUGGAUAUCACAACGAGGAAGAGCAAUUCACGUGACAUCCUGGUUCUCCCACCAAGGGGCUCAUGGCACAGAUGUCUCACUGCUGCCCCAGUAGGGCACCAGACAUUAACUAUACUGGACAGAAGAAACUUGGUGUUUCCUUUCUGCCCACAAGAUGAUUUUAUGGUAGCAGUGUUCCCAUUCUCCUUCCCUAGAUUCACACACGGGCUGAUAGAAGUUUCAAGUUUGUCUCAAGCAUGUCAAAGUGCUUCCUUUCUCACUUAAGUUUUUAUACUCAUAUCUGCAUUUGUCCAAUCAGUGCAAACCAAACUUAUAAGAUACAUGUUAAUUAUGAUUUCUGUGGUGAAUUUGUAUUUUCCCUUUCCUUUCGUAUCCCAGCAGUGGUGCUGCCUGAAAAUAAUUACUGCAGCAUCUUUAUACCAGCUCCUUUAUAGCUUUUUCCACGAUGCAGAAGAAAAGCAGUUGGGAUACAGUACAGUUAUUCUGCCUUCUCAAAGGUCUGUGUAUAAUAAACUAGACCUCAUAAAGCUGAAAAAGGCAAAAGCAAGGCAAUUGUUGCUAGUUUGAUGUGCCAGUAAUCAUAUUUCAACCAAUAACUCAGAAACUAGAACAGCUUACUUGAGAAAGAAAAGCAGCAACUCAGCAAAUGGACUUCAGCUAAUUUUAAAAUUAAAUUAACCUCACCAUCCAAUUUAAAUGUUUCCAGUCAGCACUUUAAUAGACCUAUCCAAGGCACAAGUACCCAUAAACAUCUCAAAGAGAAAAUAAAAUUCAUUGUCUUUAAAACAACCCCUCUAUGACUGUACACACACAUGUAGACAUUGAAGGACCAAUUUUAGACUGAAUGUAAGAAAAAUGUUUUUAUGAUAAGCGUGGUGAGGCACUGGAACAGCUUGGUCAGAGGGGUGGUGGGUGCCAUGCCCUUGGAAACAUCCAAGGUCAGGCUGGACAGGGCUCUGUGCACCUGAUGGAGCUCUAGGUGUCUCUAUUCAUUGCAGGAGAGUUGGACUAGAUGGCCUUUAAAGGUUUCUUCUACCUCAAAUGAGUCUUUGAUUGUAUUUUAUGAUUCUGUGAAUUUGGUAGAUUUAAUGUAGUUGUGUCAGUCUGGAUGCCACCUGCAAGAACUCUUACUUGACAAAAAAUGAAGUAAAAAAACUGAAGUAACACUGCCAUCCCUGCAAAUGGAGGAAAACCUUUCUGCCACUGCAAGCAAAACCAACAAACAAACCUCCUGCUGAGAACAAACCUGUCUUUGUGCUAAUAUGCUGCUCCUGCCUAGCUGUAUGCAGAGAGGUUCUGUGUCAUUAGCUAACACAAAUCCAGCUUCAAAGAGGUUUUUGAAAUGACAAAUCUAAAAUGACAGGAGAUGGAAAAACAAACUGUGUACCCAGCAAGGUAGAGUUCUCUAUAGUGAUGAGUGUAACUGGAAUAUACAGUAGGGCGGAAAUAUUAGCUUUAAGGUCCACUGCACAAAUAACGUUUAGUAAGUAGUCAGAAGUUAAUGAAUGGUAUGUGUAGGGAUAGCUCAAACGGUGCUAAAUUCUCCUGAAAAGACUCCUCAUGCAAAGACAAUAAAGCCUUUGACUUCUAAUGUUAAAGUGUUCAGCUUGUAUGAAUAGUCACACCUAUUUUGCUGCUAAUGGUGUAGUGAAAAUGUACGUCAGUAUCAGACUUCCCUCAUUGAUUUUGCUGGGACGUCUUGUAUAGACAUGCAGCACUAGGACCUGAAUUAGAAAAUGGAGGACCACAGUAGAUAGAGAAGUACAGACAAAGGGAAUGGCAGGAAUAAAGGUUAAGAGAGUAGGAGUAAACACUCAGAUUAGGCUAGACAAGAACAGGAAUAGGAAAACAUAUUUAUGUAAGGCCAGCAGAGAAGCUGACAAAAUAGGCAGUGGGAGCCAUUUGCUCCAGUGUCUUGUCCUCUGGGCUUAUGUCCAGAUAGAGACCUCCCUACUCUCUACCCCAAGUUGCUCAGCUCCAGCAUUCUCACAGAACAUUGUAUUUGCAAGAGAUGAUCUGUUUAGAGCUCUUAGACUGGAUCUGAUCUUGCAUGCAAUUUUCCUAAAACUUAAUAGGUUCAGCUGAGAUAUGAAAUGGACAAAGCUCCAUGCAGAGGUAAAAAGAAUUCUCAUAGCCUCAAGGAAAGCAUCUAAGCCCCAAGGCUGUAGACACUGGAAUAAGCAUGUCUUGUCCUCAGUUAUGCAUUGUAUGAGGUCCAACACUGGAGAAUUUCUGUGAGUCUGCUUUGAAAACCUUUUAUUGCAAAUCAGAUAUUUUGCGGUACAUUGAUUGGAGGAUUAUGUGAGUGCCAGCCAUCAGAAAUAUCAGCAUCUUGGGCCAUAGAGCAGGACCUCAGCAAGUGGGUUUGAGGGUUUCAGUGAUAUAUGAAUAUGGGCUUCAGUGUCUAGCAUGGCAAUAUGCUACCACGGUCCAUUUGUGUAUCUAGUUAUACAAGCUUAAAUACUGUGAAUCUGAGCACUGAGCUUGAGUCUGCAUCUUCUGUUCCUCCGGUUAUGAGAGCCUUCUGAUCACUCUUUUGUGUAGACUACAAGGACUAACGUCAGUUAUUAUCUUCUCUGCUUUGGGUACUUUAAAACUAGAAAUUAAAGAACAAGUAGUUACCAAGGGCAUGCAAUGUUAGGGCACACAGUAUACAUCUGAGACCUGGGAGCCAACAUCAGAAUCAAGUAAUUUAGCAGCAAAAGCAUUCAAUUUCUCCUUGAAAUCUCCUAGUAAAACAGCUAAAAGAGGCAAAUUCUAUGCCUGCAUUAGAAGAAGUUUCAAGGCAACUGGGAUUUAAAGACAAAGUAAUCUGACUUCAAACAGCAGCAACUGAAAGCAGAACAAUAAAAGAUAGUGAUUAACAUUACACAAAUCUAUGAAAACUAUUUGUACUUUUUCUCCCUUGUUAGAGAGAACAUAAAUAACAGCAAACAGUGAAUAGUGAGUGUUUCCAUUUAUGUUUUCUGACAAUACAGGAGCUAAAGAACAUUCAAUUACAAUGUGCAGCAAUGCAUUAACUCCAAAGAACUCUUUGUCACAAGACAUCACCAAGAUCAAACGCAGAGCUGGUUUGGCAUUUUCUAGAGAAACCAUCAGCUGAUUGUUGAAAACCAAAAUAGAACUUCUGAAACCAGUUCUGACAGAAUUAGUUUCCCAAGUACAGGCUGGAAAUCCUGAUGAAGAAUAAGGAAGGAAAAACCAUUUUUUCAUCUGCUGUCCUACCAAACAAGCUUGCUGCACAAUGUGCUUUGUUGACAUGUUCAGCAUACUCAAAAUUUCUGCCACUCAGAAAAUGAAUAUCUUUUCUUCUCCUCUCAAGAGAGUAGCCUACAAAACAGGCUGUGAACUUUUUUGGUGCGACCAAGCAGGUAAUCUGACACUUACAGGAAAUAGCUACUGAAAGAGAGAGCAACAAAGGUGAGGGAGGAGAAAGGAUUAAAGCCACAACUUUGCAUGCAAGUACAUACUUCAGAUACAAAGCACUGUGAACUUUCCUCAUCAAAAAAUGUUUAGAAAUUUUUUCAGUAUAAUUUUUGGGGGAUACUGACAGGGCUCUUUUAGCUCAAAAAUAUUAAGAAUGAAUUACCUAUCAUUGUUUCUAAUUGGGCUGUGAAACCUUGCGCCUCCAUUAACUCACCUACAUGAACCUUCCUCCUCUCAGACAGAAGCCUUGUAGUGCUGUACACAGACAGACACAAAUUCCAGAAGCAAUUCUGCUUGUCACGUAUAAUGGGGAAUUCUGGAUACCCCAUGCUUUCCCUACAGGGGUGGAAAUUGUAUUAAAUAUUAAAGGAACAGCUGGAUUUCAUUUCAUAAACAGACAAAUUAGGCAUGAAAAUCAAAAAGGCAAAUGCCAUCUUUGAAAUAUAUUCAGUGGUUUAUGUCAUUAUCUCUAAUUACUAACUUUUUUAAAGAAUUUCUUGCUAGCCAUGACGAGGCUCUGCCUCACCUACAUAAAAUUCAUACCGUUUCAUUGAAAUAUUGAGUCCUUCACAAUACUCCCUGGGCAAUCUUUCAGAAACAUGUUGACUUCCUGAGGAAUGAUGAAAAGAUCUGACUGCACAGUUGUCUAACGGCACUUUCCUUUGAUGUGCUUAGAAGUGUCAUGAUUUAAAAGACUAAACAACCCAAUAAUUGCUAGAUAGAACUGAAGUAGGUCUGGAAGUUCCAUUAUGUCAUGAAAAUUGUGACAAGAGUUGUAAAAAAAUUACUUUAGCUCAAUCAUCUUCACAGUCUGGCUCAAAAAAGUGAAAACUUGAAAUCAUUGCUCCAGAUCUCAGAGCUUGGAUGACUCUGAUGCUUUGGGCUAAAUGGAUGAAUGUGGGUGUGAAAACAACUCUUUAAACAACACGUUUUCCAGGUAGGCAGCUCAACUCUUCUCUAGGUAAUCACUUGUGCUUUUAUCUAAGGCAGUUGCUAUUAGUGCUCUCAAAUCAUAUUUUCAUUCCCUGCAACAAAAGCAUACAUAAAAACAAGACUGCUGGCUAAUCCAGGAUCAAAUUCUGGCAUUUGAUUUAAAUUAGUGGCAAUUUCUGCAGAAUGAGAAGUUCAUCCAUGUUCUUUAUGUUCAGCACUGAAUUGGCUUGUCAGAAGUACAUAAAGAACAGAUUUUUUUAUAGUAAGAUACUGUAGUAAAGCCCAAACCAGUGCUGUAAGCUGGUUCUGCAAGGUUCUUCUAUCAAAUGUGUAUUAAUAACCUCUAGUAUGUUGGACUUUCCAGACAUAAAGGAGAUAAUAAUUUUCUCAUAAUUAUCAGAAGAAAACUACAUAUUUGCAACAGGAUCAAUUUUUACUCUUAAACCAGUAAGAAGGUAUAGGCAAGGUCCUCAGGUGGUAUCCAAAAAGAAAGUGCUUCCUUCAUUCUCCCAGGAAUUCUUAUCAAAGCCAUUGAAAGCAAGUAGCUUGGAAGUGAGCUGAAGGUGUCUUUCAGAGGCAACUAAGAGUGCCAAAAGCAUGUCUACAAAAAAAAAGAAAAAAAAAAAAAGCAACAAAUAGAGAAUCUGACCAUAGCACAGACUUUGCUAGACUAUGUCCUGCCAUUAGGAGAGGGAAUGGUAGUUCUGGUGCAUUUUCCUAACAUGUUUUAUAUUAUCCACCCACUAGGUGGUGAAGAUAAGUAAUUCCAAAUGCAUCCAUUGGACCACGUUCCUCAACAAAUUCACAAGAGGCAGAACCAAUCUGUACAAGCAAUUUUACAAUACAGACCACCAAAUUUGCUCCAUGCCCUGGCACUGGCCACUGUCAUACUUUAUGUGGAUAUAAAGUAAAAGAAAGAUUUAUGAAGAUAAAAUACUAAAAUGCUUUUGUAUCUGUCUAUAAGGAAUCACCAAAAUCAGAGAAACGCAUGAGAAAGUAGAAGAAUACUAUAAAAAAUAAAAAGACAAGUCUGCAGUCUGAUUCACUGUGAUACUUUGCUACUCUAAUAAAAGCAUAAAAUGGGAUUGGGAGAUGCUGUGGAGUACUUGAAAACACCUGAUUUUUGUUUGAUCCUAUCAGAAUGAGGGACCAAGCAAAGACAUGUAUCUCAACUAGUGAUAAGGUAAAUGAUAAACUCUCAAUGCCAGAUAAUUGAUAUAAUAGAUGUAAUAACAACAGAGCCUGCAGGCAUUAUAGCAAAUGUUUGUGAAAACCCAGGUAAAGUUGCAUUACUGGUACAUAUUGGCAUUAAAUGACUGGUUUCAGAGUAUAUUGCCCAGUGAUAAUUUCAACUGCUGAUAAUACUGGGGAAAAAAUCAUGUACAGCUCUAGUUUGAGUGGGUACGAUGCAUGCUGAAGACACUAGGAUAGUACUUGAUAGAGACCUAUGGAAAAGAUAAGCAAUCCCCACAGUUUACAAAGCACCACAGAUGGCUCACUGAAUUUCAAUAGCACUGAAGUGCCUGAUUCCUUUAAAUUCUCUUCAAAUGCACAGAACACAGUCUAAUGUUGUUACAAUGCAAUGCGUUCCCAAAUUAUAUCAAAUUGUAAUUCAAACAUGGCUGGCUGCACCAAUACAUACUAAUAGAGCAAAGCACUCAUACCCCUAAUCCUCCCUGACGCUGCUGGCUUACAUUUUUCUCUCUAGUGUCUUAUUAUGCACGUUCUCACUACCCUUAUAAAUUUUCAUUGAUGUCUCUUCUCUCUUACUUAAAAUGAAAACAUCUGGAUUAAAGCAACUGAAUUCACCCUGUCAGUUUUUCAUACACUCAGUGGUUUUUAAAACAGAGCUCUCAGACUCUCUGUAUUUUCAAACUUCCUCCCUGCAUUUUCAAACCUUCAUCAUUAAGAACACCCAAACUCCCAGUGGAUGGUUUGACUUUCCUGUCGUGUUCCUUUGAAUGAUUUGUGCUCGAAUGUAAAUAUAGUCUAUCUGGUUUGGUAUCUGUUAGCAAGCUACAGGUUCACAAAUAAAUAGAGCUACAUGGCUACAUAGCCUACAUUUUUUAUUAACAACAAAUUGAACUGAAACGAUCCUCAGCCUCAGCAAGCUUUUCUUGUCACCUCUGAGCCACAUAGGUGUUACCUGCCACUCCUGUGCUCAGCCUCUUGCACUAGAAACAUUAGUGGGUCGUAGCCCAGCAUGGAAAGCUUUGUCCAACUAUAAAACCAGUUCCAUCGCAGUUUAUUUAUUUAUUUAUUUAUUUUUACACGAGGGGGUUAUUUUUCCUAUACCUCUCUGGUGUGUUGACAACAAAACCAUAUUUUGAAUUUUUUGAGACAUUCUCCUCAGCAAGGCAUCUACAAGGCACCACCGAAACAAACAAGCUGUGUCAGAAACAAUUAGAGGGAAAUUAUCUCAGAAUCCCUAAGAAAUGUGGGCACUACUUGUGGAAUAAAAGUGUAAUAGAAAGCAAACACAGGAAAAUUCCAUUUUAACCUCAGAGAGGAUUGGCACGAUCCUUCAAAUCAAAGAGAAAAACUAUGCAUGCCAAAUAUCCUUAUCAAAAAAGACAUUACCUUUCUCCUUCAAUGGCACCGUGCAAAGGGAAGUCCAUGUGCCAAAGUGAGCAGGUCAGCUGAAAUCUAAUCAAUAUUAGAUUAUAUCCAGAGGUUUUUGAUAGAAAAAUUCUGGCAUAGUCUCUCAAGGCCCAGAUGCACUCUGACUGUUUGGGAAAGGGACAGUUACGUUUUCUCUCCAUCACAUCUCCUCAACAGCUUUCCACAUUUUGUAGUCUCACAGCAGCACAAAUUACUUGGGGCUCCUCUGUACUCCAGAAGUGUACAACAUAGAGGCAUUGGUCAGAGUGGAGCUGCAGCAAAUUUAGCCAGCUUGUACAACAAACAGGUACUCACAUUGGCAAGAGAUGCAGCAAAUAAAUGCUUCUUGCCACAGUGGGCCUGUUUUAUGAGGUCUUCUACAUAGUUUGGACUGUGAGAUGUUGCUUUGAGAUGUGCCCUGGCUACUGGUUCCCAGCAGUGGCACUCCUUGAAAUCGUAUUUAAUAAAAUUGUAAUUCAAGCAGAGAAGAGAAGGAAGGCUGUAAUCAAAAUGAUUUCAAGUCCAGUAUGUCACUAGUCCUUUCAUCUAGAAACAAGUGCUACCCACCACUGACAACUGUAAGACUUCUAAUACACAGCAGUCUUUAUUGUCUCUACCACAAAAAAAAAAUAUUUUUCCUCAUUUUUUCUGUUUCUUUUCCUUAGGCUUGGAAGGAUUUGGGGGACCUUUCUUUUUUUUUAACCCAAAAUGCAAGAUGAUAACUACCAAACUAUCAAAAGCUCAGAAACUAGCUAUGCCUAAGAAUGUUUUUAUUGCAUUCUUCAUUUGCCAGCACAAAUUUUAAGGACUCCAAAGAUCCUAACAUGGAUUUUGUGAAGUUUGUGACUGCACCAGUCAUAGCCUCUAGCUGAAAUACUGACAUUUAUAUAAACCAGAAGUACACAACUGAAUGGAGGAUUUCUGCUCAGGCCAGAUCUGUCAGCAGAACUGCAAGAGCAACACUAAUGAGCCCACAUUAUUUCUUCUGCCAUUUAUGCUCUGUUAACACUUCUUACGAUGGCAUCAUGCAAAAUCUCUGCAAAGUCCUUU
ensembl:lncRNA